rnacentral:rRNA from 1 species
AGUGAACGCUGGCGGUAGGCCUAACACAUGCAAGUCGAACGGCAGCACAGUAAGAGCUUGCUCUUACGGGUGGCGAGUGGCGGACGGGUGAGGAAUACAUCGGAAUCUACUUUUUCGUGGGGGAUAACGUAGGGAAACUUACGCUAAUACCGCAUACGACCUACGGGUGAAAGCAGGGGAUCUUCGGACCUUGCGCGAUUGAAUGAGCCGAUGUCGGAUGAGCUAGUUGGCGGGGUAAAGGCCCACCAAGGCGACGAGCCGUAGAUGGUCUGAGAGGAUGGUCAGCCACACUGGAACUGAGACACGGUCCCGACUCCUACGGGAGGCAGCAGUGGGGAAUAUUGGACAAUGGGCGCAAGCCUGAUCCAGCCAUACCGCGUGGGUGAAGAAGGCCUUCGGGUUGUAAAGCCCUUUUGUUGGGAAAGAAAAGCAGCAGGUUAAUACCCCGCUGUUCUGACGGUACCCAAAGAAUAAGCACCGGCUAACUUCGUG